GACGAACCGAGCGAACGUUGUUCGGAAUCACUGGGCUUAAAGGGCGCGUAGGCGGAUCAUCAAGUCCGGGGUGAAAUCUUUCGGCUUAACCGGAAAAGUGCCUUGGAUACUGGUGGUCUGGAGGGAGGUAGGGGCAGCUGGAACUUCCGGUGGAGCGGUGAAAUGCGUUGAUAUCGGAAGGAACUCCGGUGGCGAAGGCGAGCUGCUGGACCUCUUCUGACGCUGAGGCGCGAAAGCUAGGGGAGCAAACGGG
rnacentral:rRNA from 1 species